rnacentral:rRNA from 1 species
ACCCCAUGGAGCUUUACUGUAGCUUGACAUUGGGUCUUGGUACUACAUGUACAGGAUAGGUGGGAGGCUUUGAAACCAGGACGCCAGUUUUGGCGGAGCCAUCCUUGGGAUACCACCCUUGUAGUACUGGGACUCUAACCAUAGGCCAUGAAUCUGGUCUUGGGACACUGUCAGGUGGGCAGUUUGACUGGGGCGGUCGCCUCCCAAAAGGUAACGGAGGCGCUCAAAGGUUCUCUCAGUACGGUCGGAAAUCGUACGUAGAGUGUAAAGGCAAAAGAGAGCUUGAUUGCAAGACAUACAGGUCGAGCAAGGAUGAAAAUCGGACUUAGUGAUCCGGUGGUUCUGCGUGGAAGGGCCAUCGCUCAACGGAUAAAAGCUACCCUGGGGAUAACAGGCUUAUCUCCCCCAAGAGUCCACAUCGACGGGGAGGUUUGGCACCUCGAUGUCGGCUCAUCACAUCCUGGGGCUGUAGUAGGUCCCAAGGGUUGGGCUGUUCGCCCAUUAAAGUGGUACGCGAGCUGGGUUCAGAACGUCGUGAGACAGUUCGGUCCCUAUCCGUCGCAGGCGUAGGAAAUUUGAGAAGACCUGUCCUUAGUACGAGAGGACCGGGAUGGACG